rnacentral:rRNA from 1 species
GUCCACGCCGUAAACGAUGAGUACUGGGUGUCGGGGUAGUUGACCCCUCCGGUGCCGUAGCUAACGCGUUAAGUACUCCGCCUGGGGAUUACGGUCGCAAGAUUAAAACUCAAAGGAAUUGACGGGGCCCGCACAAGCGGUGGAGCAUGUGGUUUAAUUCGACGCAACGCGAAGAACCUUACCUGGGCUAGACAACGGUGGACCUCCCCAGAGAUGGGGCUUUCCCUUCGGGGACUGCCGGUUCAGGUGCUGCAUGGCUGUCGU